rnacentral:rRNA from 1 species
UACGGAGGGGGCUAGCGUUGUUCGGAAUUACUGGGCGUAAAGCGCACGUAGGCGGCUUUGUAAGUUAGAGGUGAAAGCCCAGGGCUUAACCCUGGAAUUGCCUUUAAGACUGCAUCGCUAGAAUUGUGGAGAGGUAAGUGGAAUUCCGAGUGUAGAGGUGAAAUUCGUAGAUAUUCGGAAGAACACCAGUGGCGAAGGCGACUUACUGGACACAUAUUGACGCUGAGGUGCGAAAAGCGUGGGGGAGCAAACAGG